rnacentral:rRNA from 1 species
UACGAAGGGGACUAGCGUUGUUCGGAAUUACUGGGCGUAAAGCGCACGUAGGCGGAUUUGUUAGUCAGGGGUGAAAUCCCGGGGCUCAACCUCGGAACUGCCUUUGAUACUGCAAGUCUCGAGUCCGAUAGAGGUGGGUGGAAUUCCUAGUGUAGAGGUGAAAUUCGUAGAUAUUAGGAAGAACACCGGUGGCGAAGGCGGCAUCCUGGACCGGUAUUGACGCUGAGGCGCGAAAGCCAGGGGAGCAAACGGG